ACUGAACGCUGGCGGCAUGCCUUACACAUGCAAGUCGAACGGCAGCACGGGUGCUUGCACCUGGUGGCGAGUGGCGAACGGGUGAGUAAUACAUCGGAACGUACCUUAUCGUGGGGGAUAACGCAGCGAAAGCUGUGCUAAUACCGCAUACGCCCUGAGGGGGAAAGCGGGGGAUCGAAAGACCUCGCGCGAUUAGAGCGGCCGAUGCCUGAUUAGCUUGCUGGUGGGGUAAGAGCCCACCAAGGCGACGAUCAGUAGCUGGUCUGAGAGGACGAUCAGCCACACUGGGACUGAGACACGGCCCAGACUCCUACGGGAGGCAGCAGUGGGGAAUUUUGGACAAUGGGGGCAACCCUGAUCCAGCAAUGCCGCGUGAGUGAAGAAGGCCUUCGGGUUGUAAAGCUCUUUUGUCAGGGAAGAAACACCGGCUCUAACACAGUCCGGGAAUGACGGUACCUGAAGAAUAAGCACCGGCUAACUACGUGCCAGCCGCCGCAGUAA
rnacentral:rRNA from 1 species